UACGUAGGGUGCGAGCGUUAAUCGGAAUUACUGGGCGUAAAGCGUGCGCAGGCGGUUUUUUAAGCCCGAUGUGAAAUCCCCGGGCUUAACCUGGGAAUGGCAUUUGGGACUGCAAGGCUUGAGUGCGGCAGAGGAGACUGGAAUUCUUGGUGUAGCAGUGAAAUGCGUAGAUAUCAGGAGGAACACCGAUGGCGAAGGCAGGUCUCUGGGCUGACACUGACGCUCAUGCACGAAAGCGUGGGGAGCAAACAGG
rnacentral:rRNA from 1 species